GAUUCCUUCAAAACAAAUGUAUAUAACUACCCUACAGUUGCCAUGCAAGGCUGGGUGACCAGGGCCAUCUGGGACUGCCUCCUGGGGCAAUUUAGCAUGUGAAGGCUACCUGUUUCCUGCAUAACUUCAUGAGGAUGGACACGAGGACCAGGAGGGGAUCUGCAGCUCGUCACCGUGUGCCAGAGGAGAGGUCUGCUCUCUGCAGACUGUUUCAAGGAUGGGGGCCAACAACGCAUCACGGGAGCAAGCAGGCUCUGGUGUAUAACUGUGGCUCCUUCCAUCUUCAAAGAAUAGGAAAGAGGACCAACCAUGGAGAAUAGUUAUAUCAGCUGUGUCGGUAAACCCCUCCCGCAUCUGAACUGCUUACAUAGUGGGCACAGCAUGAUCAGAGGUAUGUUUUGAUGAGAGGAAGCCAACGUCCAGUCCCGUCAUCGCCACCUCACCCGCUCUUAAUAAGAUAACCUUCGGGCCAACUGGGGGCCCAAGGCUGGUUAGGAGACACCGCUAGAUACACUAUUAUGUAAUUGUGAUGAACUGAGAGAAUAUUAGAGUAGCACUGUAAUUCAUUAAUAUUAUGCUGUCUUCCCUGCUCCUCUUACCUAUUUCUGUUUCUCUCCCUUACUCUCACACCUUCUUUCU